GUGCCAGCAGCCGCGGUAAUACGUAGGGUGCAAGCGUUAAUCGGAAUUACUGGGCGUAAAGCGUGCGCAGGCGGUUUUGUAAGUCUGUCGUGAAAGCCCCGGGCUUAACCUGGGAAUUGCGAUGGAGACUGCAAGGCUUGAAUCUGGCAGAGGGGGGUAGAAUUCCACGUGUAGCAGUGAAAUGCGUAGAGAUGUGGAGGAACACCGAUGGCGAAGGCAGCCCCCUGGGUCAAGAUUGACGCUCAUGCACGAAAGCGUGGGGAGCAAACAGGAUUAGAUA
rnacentral:rRNA from 1 species